AGGCGUGGACAAUAUGGUACACCA
rnacentral:siRNA from 1 species